UACAGAGGUCUCAAGCGUUGUUCGGAUUCAUUGGGCGUAAAGGGUGCGUAGGUGGCGCUGUAAGUCGGGUGUGAAAUUUCGGAGCUUAACUCCGAAACUGCAUUCGAUACUGCGGUGCUUGAGGACUGGAGAGGAGACUGGAAUUCAUGGUGUAGCAGUGAAAUGCGUAGAGAUCAUGAGGAAGACCAGUGGCGAAGGCGGUCUCUGGACAGUUCCUGACACUGAGGCACGAAGCCAGGGAGCAACAGG
rnacentral:rRNA from 1 species